GAUUUCUAAAUAUAACAAAGUAGUUCUUUUACAGAAAAAAAGGAUAUGAUUUUCAUAUUUAUUCUUACAAAGCAUUAAAAACAUAAUUGACAGAAACAACUGAUAAAAAGUAAAUAGAAACAUGAUUUAAUAUAGUUGGAUAAUGUAUUAAUACAAAUGGGAAUACCCAAAUCCUUUGCUAUAUCAGGUUUUAAUCCUGUUUUCAUUAGGAACCCUGGGUGGCACUUUGGAGAUGUUGGAGACCUGUCAUAAUGCAGUGAAUAAAUGUAAUUUGCUCUAAAUAAUAUAAGACAUAGAAAUCUAUAUUAUAGGAUUACUAUGGCUGCCAGAAUCACACAUACGGAAAAAAAAAAAAAUCGUAUUGUCUCUGUGUGUCAGCAUGGCUUUCCUGCAGUAGGGAAUG